rnacentral:misc_RNA from 1 species
GACAGAGGGUGCAAACGUUGCUCGGAAUCACUGGGCGUAAAGGGCGUGUAGGCGGAACGGUAAGUCGGGCGUGAAAUCCCCAAGCUCAACUUGGGAACUGCACUCGAAACUGCCAUUCUUGAGUAUCGGAGAGGAAAGCGGAAUUCCUGGUGUAGAGGUGAAAUUCGUAGAUAUCAGGAGGAACACCAGUGGCGAAGGCGGCUUUCUGGACGAUAACUGACGCUGAGACGCGAAAGCGUGGGGAGCAAACGGG